rnacentral:rRNA from 1 species
UGCGGGUCUUGAGUAAAUUUGAAGUGGCUGGAAUAAGUAGUGUAGCGGUGAAAUGCAUAGAUAUUACUUAGAACACCAAUUGCGAAGGCAGGUCACUAAGAUUUAACUGACGCUGAUGGACGAAAGCGUGGGUAGCGAACAGGAUUAGAUACCCUGGUAGUCCACGCCGUAAACGAUGCUAACUCGUUUUUGGAUUUUCGGAUUCAGAGACCAAGCGAAAGUGAUAAGUUAGCCACCUGGGGAGUACGUCCGCAAGGAUGAAACUCAAAGGAAUUGACGGGGGCCCGCACAAGCGGUGGAUUAUGUGGUUUAAUUCGAUGAUACGCGAGGAACCUUACCAAGACUUAAAUGGGAAAUGACAGGUUUAGAAAUAGACCCUUCUUCGGACAUUUUUCAAGGUGCUGCAUGGUUGUCGUCAGCUCGUGCCGUGAGGUGUUAGGUUAAGUCCUGCAACGAGCGCAACCCCUGUCACUAGUUGCUAACAUUCAGUUGAGGACUCUAGUGAGACUGCCUACGCAAGUAGAGAGGAAGGUGGGGAUGACGUCAAAUCAUCACGGCCCUUACGUCUUGGGCCACACACGUAAUACAAUGGCCGGUACAGAGGGCAGCUACACAGCGAUGUGAUGCAAAUCUCGAAAGCCGGUCUCAGUUCGGAUUGGAGUCUGCAACUCGACUCUAUGAAGCUGGAAUCGCUAGUAAUCGCGCAUCAGCCAUGGCGCGGUGAAUACGUUCCCGGGCCUUGUACACACCGCCCGU